AUCCAGUUGACAAGUCUCAAAUAGGACGAAACGCGCGUCGUGGGU
rnacentral:hammerhead_ribozyme from 1 species